rnacentral:lncRNA from 1 species
GUGAGUUGUAGCUUGACUGCUUACGUCAUCCAAAAUGAAGGUCAGCUUCAUCACUGGCAUCACGAAUCUACUCACACUGUGGGACCUCUGCUGGUCUUUACAACCAAACGCCCGCCUCCACUUCUUGCUAAGAUAGUCAGCUUUGUUCAGCUCUGGAGCCCGUGACCUGUGGUCCCACAGAACAUGGUCCAGGCCCUGGUCAGUGCGGCUCUGUGACCCAUUCCAGCCCAGGAGAUACAAGAAGAGGUCCGACAGUGCCUUCCGGGACGGAUUAUCACUUUAAAGUGGUUAUGUAAGGACAGGAGACUUUACCCCUGGGGGUGGACAAGGCAGGGCACUCAGCUCUGAGUUACCAUGGACUCGCUGAUCUAAGGCCACAGCCACCUCCCUCAGCCCCAGCCUCGAGACUUCUUCUUGUUCUUUGAGGGAAGCUAAGCAGCCUUGGCUGCCUGGAGCAUCCUUGGCUGUUGUAACCACCCAUCCCACGCAGAGCUGCUGACACUUCUGGGCGGCCAGCUGGUCCAUGCACACUUCUGGCGUUCACUUCUGGCUCAGCUUCUCUGGAUGUCUCUCUGCACCCUAUUCCCACCCGUGGGCUGGUGCAGAAUGAGUGAGUCAGGGCUAGGGUGAGAGGUGGUCAAGGAUCAAAGACCACACUUGGACAGGUGCUUUCCGGUGGAGCUAAUGCAGCCAAGCCCUGCCUGGAGGGAGCAGGGAGAUGAGGCGAGGGACAGACAACGAGACUGAGCUAAGAGGGGCUGAGAGCCAUGCAGGUGGGAGCAGAGAGAGCGGGAGGCUUGGGAAGACUCCGGAAGGGCAAAGUCCCUGGGUGAGAGAGAAGGCCACCACCCAGACCUGAAGCCCCUCAGUGUGCCCAAACCCGGGCUCUUCUGCUUUGCCUCGACUAGAGUACACGCCUGUCUGCUGCCAGUGUGGAGGAGGGAAGCCUUUGGGGCUGAACUGUAUCCCCUGGCACCUUGGAGAACCUACAGCACGAGUGCCGUAGCGGGCUGUUUCUAUCACUGAAAGCUCUGAGAGGUUCGCCAUUUCGCCAUCACUGCCCUGGGCUAUUUAUGGAGACAGAGCCCUGAAAGAUGCAACUGAGGUAAACGGAGGUCAUCAGACGGCCCCCAGGCCUGGUGUGCUUAGGAGACCAGUGGGAAGGCCCCGGGAAGACGCAGGAAAAUGCUCACCCAGCAGUCAAGGAGAGGCCACGAAGAACCCGACCUUGCUGGCACCUUGGUUCUUGACUUCUCUCACCCAGACUGAGAGAAGAUUCCUCUCUGCUAUUCCAAGCACGCGAUUGGUGGCCGUCUGCUAUGGCAGCCCCAGAGAGAGGUCAGCAGAAGGGAGCUCAACCCUGCCAGAUGGAGCUGGGACCCUGGGGCCAAUCACUUUUUGUGUUUUAUUUAUUUAUUAUUUUUUGAGGUCCAGGAACUGCUGAGCUACAUCUUCAGCCCUUUUUUAAAAUUUUAGUUUGAGUCAGGGUCUCACUAAGCUGCCCAGGCUGGGCUCAAACCUGUGACCCUACUGCCUCAGCUUCCAGAGUAGCUGGGAUGACAGGUGUGUGCCACUUCACCUAGAACUUAAUAGCUUUCAUGCUGUUUUGAUUUUUGGUGCUGGGGAUUAAAGCUGGGACCUCAUGCGCACUAAGCAUGUGCUCUGCCUCAGCCUAAGGAGCAGCUUUGAACCAAGCUCUUGAACCAAUCAGCAGGGUACCAGCCACAGUCACUUUCUAAUCUCCAAAUAUUGUCAUCUUUAAUCCUCUCAUCUCCUCUUACUCCUCUAUCAGUGAGGAUUCAGGAAGGAGCAGAGGAAAAGACAUGUAUUUCCUGGCAUUGUAAAAUUAUUACUGUUGCUAUCAUUACUAGUAGUGGUUACUUUCAGCACGGGGGCUUGAAGCCAGGGCCUUGUGGAUGUUAGGCACGCACUCUGCCUCUGAGCCACACUCCAGCUCAGGAUGAUGCAUUUGGCAGCUCCGCAGCACAAAACAGUCACCACUCUGAAAGAAAUAUGCAAUCUUUAGCAGCAGCUGGCUGAAUAAGCACCCCCAGACUGCAAGGGAACAGCCAUUUAAUGCUCAGCUGGUUAAGCUGUGAAUCCUGAUAUUAAUUUCAAAUUCAGAUUCAUUUUCUUCUUCCCAAGUUUCCUUCUUUUUGUUUUGUUUUGUUUUGUUUUGCUUUUUGGUACCGGGGAUCGAACUCGGGACCUUUCGCUUUCGAGGCAGGUGCAGGAACCACUGAGCUAAAUCCCCAGCCCCCCCAAGUUUCCUUCUUAAGGAUCAUAGCUGACCCAAUAAGUUAAUGUUUUUAUGGUGCAGAACAGCGAGGAGACAGUAGUCCAGUGGAUUCCACACUGUGCCUGCAGCAGGGCCCUCUAUACUGAGUACUGGCACCAGGUAGAGGGUACCAGGACAGCAAGCCACAGGUGGACAUGUUCAAUUACUUCUGCAGCCCUUGAAAACCCAAUUCUUCGGCCCAGAUGCCCCAGAAUGGCAUCCUCACCGCCUCUCACUCUGAAGGAUCCACCAUGACACAGCGAGAGCUUGGCAUCAAAGACCAACCUUUCUACCUCGCAACAGCGAGAUUAGCCACCUUGAUGGAUGUUAAAGACCAUUACUUAAGUGAUCCUGAAAUUAACAACACUAUUUGUCCUCCUUAGGAAUUGAAGUAAAACUUUAAUCUCAUAAAAUAAUUUAGUCUACAAACAAUACAAUCUUGGGACUGGCUUUUCUAUGAACAUGUUUUGUUGCUGCCUGCUAACAUGGUACCGCAUUCAGAAACUCCUCAGACCAGGAGAGACAGUGUGAGAGGCUGCAGGCCCACUCUGGAGGCAUCACGUACUCCAAUUAGGGCAGUGGUCAACCAUGAAUAAAUCGUGCUCUGUGUGGCAGAAACUUUCGUGUUUAUUCACAACUCAUCACCAAAGGAACCCAAACAACUGGGGCUCUGAAGGAAGGAAUAUAAAGGGGAAACCCAUGGACAGAGGAGGAAAGAAGACACCAGCACCAGACCUCGUUCAUCACAGGCUGGGCAAGGUGGACAGUGAUGAGGACAUUGGUUUAAAACAACAGCUGAAGCUGCCCUCUGCCUCUGCCAGAGGUCAGUGAGGGAAAAGAUGAGCGACCGUCCAGAAUCCAGAGUGAUCAGUGCCUUGGAGAAGCUGGAGAUUAGCACGAGGGAUGCCCAUGAGGGGCCCAGGAUCCAGGAAGGGUAAGGGACAGGUGAGGGCUAUGGGAUGGGGCUGGGUCAUCACAGCAGUGGAAGGAGAUGAGUCCACUGGCGUUGCAGUAGGGCCAUCUGCCCUCCUUCCCUCUCUGCCCACAGGAGGCAGAAGGCCAGGGCGGUGGCCCACCAGGGGCUGGCUGUGUGGUGAUCCUCUGAGAAACUCAAGAGCCCAAGACAAGACAGCUGCUUCCUGACACUUGGGGGUUGCCAUGAGCCACCCGCUCACCCAGCCUGGUUUCCCAAGAGCUCCUGUGAGCGCCUCCUGACUUCUGUUUUGUUUGUUUUUUUGGUACUAGGGAUCGAACUGGGGACCUUGCGCUUGCGAGGCAGGCAAAGGAACCACUGAGCUAAAUCUCCGGCCCACUCCUGACUUCUGAAUGGGAGGUGAGAGGUUGGCAGAUGGCUGACGACAGCUCCAACAUGAUGGCACUGAAAUGAACACCGGGGGGAAAGGGAGACAGAGGGAGCCAGGACAGAGCAGGGGACAGGAUGACCGCUUAGGAAAGUAAGAGCAUCAGAGGACUGCAGAAAGCAUUGCGACUGUUACAUAAUCCCAGGAUUGUACUUCAAAUAGAACAGAAAACAUGAAAAGAGGCCUUAAAAUAAGUGAGAUAACUUGAGUAGCAAAUACAGAAAUAUUCUCCAAGACAGAACAAAAGAUAAAUGCCAGGCGUGGUGGGCAAGCCUGUAAUUCCAGCACUCAGAAGGAGGCUGAGGCAGGAGGAUCACUGCAAGCCAGCCUGUCUGAACCACAUCGAGUCUCUCUCUGCCCCUCUCUCUCUCUCUACACACACACACACACACACACACACACACACACACACACACACACAAAUGACAUGGGCCGGGGAUGCAACUCAGUGACAGAGCACUUGCUAAGCAUGUCUGAGUCCUAGGUUCAAUACCCAGCACCACAAAAAAUUAAUGAUGAAGUGAUGUCCAACAGGAAAGAAAAGAUGAGAAUAUUCUAAGAGAACCAGAAGAUCCAAUGGCCAAAUAAGACGUGUUUCAGAAAGUAAUAAGCAUAAACAAUAAUGCAGGAUUUACUAUUUGUCCAGCAGUGUUCUAAGUAGCUUAGAUAUUUUGAUGAAGUAAUAACUAUUAUGAGUCCCAUCUUAUAGAUGAAGGAACUGAAGCACAGAAACCUUAAAUGACUUGCCCAAGCCACAGUCAGAGAGCAGAGCCAGGGUCUGAACUGAGGAGACUGCGCAUGCAGGUCCUCCAUGGCUCUGCUAGGACAGCAGGGAGGAGAAACCGGCAGGCACUUUCAGGAGCAUUUCCGGAACAGGAGUCAGCAGCCAGACCGGAAGUGUCCACGGAGUGCCAGCAUGAUGAGGACAAGAGCAUCUUUGUCCACUAGGGCAUCUGACGUUUCCAGAUACUAGAGAAAGAGACCCUUCCACAAGUUUCCAGGGAGACAAAUUCCGGAAGGAAGGAGAAUCCCAAUGACAUGGGGAUUCUUAGCGGGAACACUGGAAGCUAGAAGACAAAAAGUAUUAGGUACGCGAUUAUGGAUGAAAAAUAUCAAUGUCGAAUUCUAUCCUUGGCCAAACUCUCCUCCAAAAGUAAAAGUCGGUAGGGCUGGGGGAGUGGCUGAGUGGCAGAGAGGCCGCCUAGCAUGAAUGAAGGUCUGGGUCCCAGGUGCAUUGCUGGAAAACAAUGUAAAGUGGAUGAAGACCCUUCAAGGGGGAAGGACUAAAUUGUGCCUCCCCCCCCUCCUUGGGCUGCACUGUGAUAUGCACCACCGAAAGUGAAGCAGAAACCAAGCAAGAAGGCAGGGGUCAAGGAAAGGGGCUUCUCCUGGGACAAAUUAAGGAGCAGGUCGGGACAACGGCUGGGCAGCCAUCUGUGGGAGGGUGAGCCUGUCUUCACUGGAAUGGGACGGGGGUGGUACGGGAUGUUCCCGGGGUGAACCUGUCAUUUGGAAAAGAAAUCUGAUAGUCAUCUGAGAGAUCAGUGAUAGAAAGAUCCCAGGAUAGGUGCAUAAUAAAUUCAGUAAACAGCUGAAAAGUUCCUAUAAGAAAGAAAACAAUAUUAGUGCACUAGCUGGUUAGCUUGUCUCCAGAAUUUGCAGAGCUGUUCACAACUGAGCCCCUUAACUGUGAAACAGCUGUUUCAGAAGAAGGCAUGGAAAGGAGCAAACUACUUCUGAUUUAGGGAAAGGACUAAAUCAAAGUUGGUCAAAGUACACCUCUAUUGACAAAUCCAGAGACGGCAGGAUAAAGUAUCUAGAAACAGGGAGGUAAAUGACAGAAGACAGCUGAAAGUCAGACGUGGCUGCCUCUAGAAAGAAGAUAGACAAGGUAAGGGAGAGGUGGGUACCAUAGCACGAUAAAAUAUUAUGUUGUCUUUUAAAAAGUAACUGUCCAGGUGCCUGGUUUAAAAAGGAAUAAAACCAUGAAAUUCAUUUGUUGAGAAAGAAAAGAUGGAACAACCAAACCUUGUCUCAUGUAACUUUUCAGGAAAUGUGUGAUCCAUAUAACGCCUUGGAAGAAGUUGCAUCCAGUCUGGUAGUUUUAGGAUGAACUUAAUAAAACGUGGC